AGAGCGAACGCUGGCGGCAGGCUUAACACAUGCAAGUCGAGCGGGCGUAGCAAUACGUCAGCGGCAGACGGGUGAGUAACGCGUGGGAACAUACCUUUUGGUUCGGAACAACACAGGGAAACUUGUGCUAAUACCGGAUAAGCCCUUACGGGGAAAGAUUUAUCGCCGAAAGAUUGGCCCGCGUCUGAUUAGCUAGUUGGUGAGGUAACGGCUCACCAAGGCGACGAUCAGUAGCUGGUCUGAGAGGAUGAUCAGCCACAUUGGGACUGAGACACGGCCCAAACUCCUACGGGAGGCAGCAGUGGGAAUAUUGGACAAUGGGCGCAAGCCUGAUCCAGCCAUGCCGCGUGAGUGAUGAAGGCCCUAGGGUUGUAAAGCUCUUUGUGCGGGAAGAUAAUGACGGUACCGACAAGAAUAAGCCCCGGCUAACUUCGCGCCAGCAGCCGC
rnacentral:rRNA from 1 species